rnacentral:rRNA from 1 species
UAAUACGGAGGGUGCAAGCGUUAAUCGGAAUUACUGGGCGUAAAGCGCGCGUAGGCGGUUUAGUCAGUCAGAUGUGAAAGCCCGGGGCUCAACCCCGGAAGUGCAUUGGAUACUGGCAGACUUGAGUAUGGGAGAGGAAAGUGGAAUUCCGAGUGUAGGAGUGAAAUCCGUAGAUAUUCGGAGGAACACCAGUGGCGAAGGCGGCUUUCUGGACCAAUACUGACGCUGAGAUGCGAAAGCGUGGGGAGCGAACAGGAUUAGAUACCCUGGUAGUCCACGCCGUAAACGAUGGGUACUAGGUGUUGCGGGUAACCACUCCUGCAGUGCCGCAGCUAACGCAUUAAGUACCCCGCCUGGGGAGUACGGCCGCAAGGCUA